rnacentral:rRNA from 1 species
AGAGUUUGAUCCUGGCUCAGGAUGAACGCUAGCGACAGGCUUAACACAUGCAAGUCGAGGGGCAGCGGUGGAGAGAGCUUGCUCUCUUCAGCCGGCGACCGGCGCACGGGUGAGUAACACGUAUGCAACCUGCCCUUGACACUGGGAUAACCCGGAGAAAUCCGGACUAAUACCGGGCGACACCUUCGGAGGCCAUCCUCCUUAGGUCGAAGGAAGCGAUUCCGGUCAAGGAUGGGCAUGCGGCGCAUUAGCUAGUUGGCGGGGUAACGGCCCACCAAGGCGACGAUGCGUAGGGGUUCUGAGAGGAAGGUCCCCCACAUUGGUACUGAGACACGGACCAAACUCCUACGGGAGGCAGCAGUGAGGAAUAUUGGUCAAUGGGCGCGAGCCUGAACCAGCCAAGUCGCGUGAGGGAAGACGGCCCUACGGGUUGUAAACCUCUUUUGUCGGGGAGCAAGGACUGCCACGAGUGGCAGGGCGAGAGUACCCGAAGAAAAAGCAUCGGCUAACUCCGUGCCAGCAGCCGCGGUAAUACGGAGGAUGCGAGCGUUAUCCGGAUUUAUUGGGUUUAAAGGGUGCGUAGGUGGUGAUUUAAGUCAGCGGUGAAAGUUUGUGGCUCAACCAUAAAAUUGCCGUUGAAACUGGGUUACUUGAGUGUGUUUGAGGUAGGCGGAAUGCGUGGUGUAGCGGUGAAAUGCAUAGAUAUCACGCAGAACUCCGAUUGCGAAGGCAGCUUACUAAACCAUAACUGACACUGAAGCACGAAAGCGUGGGGAUCAAACAGGAUUAGAUACCCUGGUAGUCCACGCAGUAAACGAUGAUUACUAGGAGUUUGCGAUACAAUGUAAGCUCUACAGCGAAAGCGUUAAGUAAUCCACCUGGGGAGUACGCCGGCAACGGUGAAACUCAAAGGAAUUGACGGGGGCCCGCACAAGCGGAGGAACAUGUGGUUUAAUUCGAUGAUACGCGAGGAACCUUACCCGGGUUUGAACGCAUUCGGACCGAGGUGGAAACACCUUUUCUAGCAAUAGCCGUUUGCGAGGUGCUGCAUGGUUGUCGUCAGCUCGUGCCGUGAGGUGUCGGCUUAAGUGCCAUAACGAGCGCAACCCUUAUCACUAGUUACUAACAGGUGAAGCUGAGGACUCUGGUGAGACUGCCAGCGUAAGCUGUGAGGAAGGUGGGGAUGACGUCAAAUCAGCACGGCCCUUACAUCCGGGGCGACACACGUGUUACAAUGGCAUGGACAAAGGGCAGCUACCUGGUGACAGGAUGCUAAUCUCCAAACCAUGUCUCAGUUCGGAUCGGAGUCUGCAACUCGACUCCGUGAAGCUGGAUUCGCUAGUAAUCGCGCAUCAGCCAUGGCGCGGUGAAUACGUUCCCGGGCCUUGUACACACCGCCCGUCAAGCCAUGGGAGCCGGGGGUACCUGAAGUCCGUAACCGAAAGGAUCGGCCUAGGGUAAAACUGGUGACUGGGGCUAAGUCGUAACAAGGUAGCCGUACCGGAAGGUGCGGCUG